GCGGCGCCAAUCACGUUCGUUUAUCAUACCGCGGCAAUUCAGUGUGAGAGGAAGCAGGAGGAGACAGAUGAGCAACAGGUCGGUUUUUAUCUAUUUUCGCUGGUUCUUCACUAAUACAAACGGACAACUUUAUGUAACAAACUUUAUUGAACUCAUAGGAGCCCGUUACUAGUCUGUGGUGAUUUGAGGAGGGCUGUAGAUGUGAAGAUUGAACUGUGGACUGGUGAGCAGAAUUGUUUGUCUUGAUAGCUUAGCCACCUCCAUUCAGAUGAAUGGAUGGUGUUAGCUGGAUGAUGCCAAUGCUUAACUCUAAAAUGUGAUUGCUAAUAUGUAACAUUGAUUCCUGAAUCAAAUGUAUGGAAUGAAAUGAGUAUAUAAUAUAAAUGCUGUAAAUUUUAUUUAUUUGGACUAAUGGCAAGUGCUAUACUGUGGAUUAUGAUGAUUAUGUUGCGAUUGAAAUGAACUGCAGUACUUUGAUUGAAAAGACACAUGUAUACACUGCAAUUCAAGCAAUGUAUAUUGAUUGUGACAUUGUGAUUUACUUGAACCCUGGCUUUACAGGCCAAAGGAAGUGACCUACAGACCCAGGAAGCCCACAUCUCUCUGCCAGGCUGGUAGGGGCUCCUUGUAGCCGCAACACUCUCACCCCACUGUACAGCCCAUCAAUCCAGACACACACACACACACUCCACCCAACAUUUUCCCUUUUCCUCCCAAUCCUCUGGACUCACACCUUUGCACCCAGACGUGGGUUGUUGUGUUGUGAGGAACUAUUGGUGGCCAAGUGCCCAUUACUUAUUUGGUCAUCGUGUUGUUUGACUAACUGAUUGAACUGAUUUACAUUGUCUGACUUCACUGAUUUAUUGCACUGUACUUCUGUUAUCAUUUCCAUGUUAUGUAUGUCCUUGUAUGUCACUGUAAAUAAUUGCACUGUGGUUAUUAGUCAUCUGCUUGCUUAAAUAUAUGGUACCAUUUCAAAAGCAACACUCAGUCUCGUGUCCACUUCUUCCCUGAGCGUUCUCUAAUUCUUCUGGUCAAAAGCCCAAUAUUAUACAUCAAACUAUAUUUACAUCCAUUAAAUUGUGUCAGCACAAGUGCUAUACUACCAUGGUACAACAAAGAGGGAUCAACCAGGAACAGGCCCAAUUCAAGCAGAUCCCAGACUUAUAAAGUGAAGCUAAACGUAUGCCCCUAUCUUGGUUGACAUAGGAAGUGUUGGGGUAGUUAGUCAUAAAAAGUAAUUUGUUACUAGUAAGUAGUUACUUCACUGCUUGUUACUUUACUUUCCCAUUUCUUAAUUUAUCAUGUAGGGAUGCAUGGACAAACAUCAUAUCCCAAUCAUCACUGAUCAUAGUCCGCAUCGUUUUAUUGUAUAAUUGUCACCUGAGCAUAGAGUGCAUUUUACACAAAUAUUUUUGGCCUUUCGACUAAUAAAACAAAAGUAAUGUGAGUAUCACCACUUCCUAAAAGCCCCUGUGUCAUCAGCCUCUGUCUCCGUCUCCAUUUCCAUCUCUAAGUCAGUCAACUCGAUCUCUGCAUAGGACUUUCAAAGACCACAUGAUUGUGCAAUGCAUGGGGUGUCGGACAGCGCCAUCUUUAAAGGCAAUUUUUUGUUUACAUUCGACAGGGAAGCUGCGAGAUAGCAACACGGUGAGAGCAAAACACCCAAGAAAGUGAAUCCUGCGAAAGAAAAGACUGUCAGAGCAUACAGAGACAAGCUGGACGUUACUGUUAUCCAUAACUUUGUAGUGCGUUACCCUCAAAACUUGAAAUAGGACACGGCACACACCUUUAUAAACUUUCUUUUAUAACUUUGCCAUCCCCCAAAGACUUCUUGUGUUUGUCCAAAUAUGGUUAAGGCAAAGAUGUCAUCACUACAUCUAUGGUGUUAUGGUGUUUGGCCACAGAGAAACUGGCUGCUGUGCUGCUGACUGGUCCUCUUACACUGUCUGAGUUCAUAGAACUUUUCUGGCAGGAAAACCGGCCUCAGAGUGUCCUUGUACCACCUGAAAUACAGCUCUUAACUGCCCUGCUUUGGCACAGCCACACUUGUAAUGUGUCUACGUGGAUUAAAUGUCCAUUCACCUAAAGUUUAAUGAGACUCGGCUGUGCCUCCACAAAACAAAAAACCAACCCAAAACUGUAAAUAAAACCCAAUUAAAACAAAUAAGUACAUAAAGGCAGGAGGACGCAUUCUUCAAAACUUGGGUCACAACAAUAAUAAGACAUUAGCCAAAAAAGGCACUGAAAAAGGUAACUUUGAAGUAUGCACCUUCAAGGGCAAAUCAAAUAUGAGGAAUAGAGGCAGUGUGAGUGAGCCCUGUUACAACACUGCCAGUUACCAUUAGCAGUAAUUGGCAUUUCUCUGUUUAAAAAGAGAAGUAUGCAGAUUGAGUUCAUGAAACAAUAGAUAGUUAUACUCUCUACAUAUCUGAAUAUGAAGUAAGUGUAUGUAAUUGUUCUGUCUCUAUGGGGAAUGUGCAGCCUUCAGUGUAAUCUACUCACUGCAGUUCUGAGGCCUCUGGGUAUUUCCAGCCUGCAGCAUCGGUUUCAGGCACCAGGCAUUUUGUAGAAAUAAAGCUCUCUUUGAAGUGUGGGUCAUCUUUUUUGAUAAACAAUGUUUUCUUACGCUUCGGCAAAAACAAAGUGUUGAUAUUGUGUAAUCCAAAUUACGUAAAUAACAGUUCAAGCAAGGGACAUUAUUUAUUCUUAAUGAUGUGCCAAGAUUUUCCUUUUCUUUUCAUUGCUGUAAUGAUGUGCCCCAUCGAGUGCUGAGGGUAUGUUCUGCCAAAAGACAACAAAAUGACUCAAUUAUUGCACGUUAAUUUUUCCCUCAGUUAAUCUGGCAUGUUCAGUUGUCGGCCAGUGGCCAAAUAGAUGCUUUGAAUUAUCAAAUAAUCACCACAAAGUAACGCUUCCAGUACCGAUCUUUUAUUUUUAUUUCACCCAAGUGUCUUUGAGAGGCUCACUAAUGCGUGCUGAUUAUCCUCCUACUGUAUAUUUUUCACCUUGGGUUUUUGGAAAGAUGUGCUUUUAUUUUCUUAUUUCCUAGUCUAACUUGUUAGCUGUGAUAUUUUCCUAUGCCCACGCGCAUCUUUGUCAUGUUAAUUUUAAUUUUUUUCAUUCUUUUUUUUUUUUUUCCAGGUAUGUAUCAGAGAGAAGACUUAAACAGACUGACUGCCAGCUGAGCAAGAAAGAAAGUUUUGGUCCUUGACCCAGAGGUACAUUGGUGAAGUAAUCUGAGUUUAAUUACCCUACCUAGGUAAGGAAUUCAGAGAUUACACAGGUGAAAGUAUUAAGGAUGUAAAAUAUUGCAGAUUAAAGCAUGCUUGUUUUUGUAUGGCUGAAGAAAUGGUGACUAAACUAUGAUAAUUGGCUCAAAAUCGGCACGAUUAAGUUGUCCAGAGUUUUUAUUGAUUACAAC